rnacentral:rRNA from 1 species
UUGUCUUUAGUUGCCAUCAUUAAGUUUGGGCACUCUAAAGAGACUGCCGGUGUCAAACCGGAGGAAGGUGGGGAUGACGUCAAGUCCUCAUGGCCUUAUGACCAGGCUACACACGUACUACAAUGGCAGGUACAAAGGGCAGCCACUUAGCGAUAAGGCGCGAAUCCCAUAAAACCUGUCUCAGUCCGGAUUGGAGUCUGCAACUCGACUCCAUGAAGUUGGAAUCGCUAGUAAUCGCAGAUCAGCACGCUGCGGUGAAUACGUUCCCGGGCCUU